rnacentral:rRNA from 1 species
UGGGGAAUUUUCCGCAAUGGGCGAAAGCCUGACGGAGCAAUGCCGCGUGGAGGUGGAAGGCCUACGGGUCGUCAACUUCUUUCCUCGGAGAAGAACAAUGACGGUAUCUGAGGAAUAAGCAUCGGCUAACUCUGCGCCAG